rnacentral:lncRNA from 1 species
AAAUGGCUCUUAACAAUCAUUUAAGCAACUCCGUAAUAAGUUUCAUUUUGAAAACUCAUAAAUUAGUAGUGAAUAUGUUUGUUACCCAUUUAAUUAUCAAAUUACCCUUUAAUUACUAAAUUACCAGAUUCCAAAUAGAAUUAAAAAAAAAAAAAGUAGAAAAUAAAAUGAAGAGAGGCUCAGAUCUGUUUGUAAACAGGCAAAGAGAAUAGGGCCGCGCCAUGGCUGCAAAAUAACCCGGUUGCAUACGAUUUAAUAAUCGCAGCCAUCCGGGUUGCCCCGCCAAGAUACGGGCCGGGUAUUCUCAGUGCCAGAUCCAUCAGCUCAGAAGGAACCCUAGAAAUUAAUCAUCACAGCCUCUGUAAACAUCAAACAAUCAAAAGCUUUGGCAAAACACCACCACCUCCACCACCACCGUUCAAAAAUACACACACACACACACACACGCAAACGAGGGCUCGUUUGGCUAAACAUUACUAUUAUUAUUAUUAUUUUUUUUUUUAAAGGGCUGUUGGCAUUGUGAAGAAGAAAUCACUGGGUUUAGAGAGAGAGAGGCAACCACCCUUGAGAAAUUCCCAAACCCUAACCCCUCAUUCUUUUCCUUCUGAGCUUAUUUUGGAUUUUGGGAUUCCAGCGUUGAUGUGUUUUAUACAUAUGAACUGAACUGUAUUGGUCAUUUUUGCCCCUCGAGUUUCAGGGCAUGUUUGGCUCUGUGUUUCAAGUUUAUUAGCGUAAAUUACAACCACCUCCCUGAGGUAAUUUGUAAUUACGAAACAAUCUCUUAUGUUUGAGAAAUUACAUUCAACUCCCUACAGUUUGUAAAUUACUUACAUCCACCCCUUACAAAAGGGUGCUUUUGUAAUAAAUCUUUACAAAUUUGAAAUUACACAGGAGGAUGUAAUUAGGAAAAAAUUAGGGUUUUUUCGUUAAUAGAUCUUACCUCAGGGAAUGCCUGUAAUUACCUAAGUUUAUUAAUAUUAAUUAUUUUGUAAAUAACUUUUUAGAAUUUUUUUGUUUUAGAGAAGUGCCCAAUCUGAUUUUUAUUAGUGGAAUCAGAUUUCAAAUUUUGGAAUAAUAUUAUUUUUUCAAUUUUAAAUUUCAUAAUUCUAAUUUUUAGUUUUUUUAAAUCAUUUUUGUUAAUUAAGUUUAAAAGUUGGGAUAUUUUUGAAGUUGUAUUCUGAUAAUUAAUAUUAAGUAAGCUUUUAUUAAUUAAGUUCAGAACAUCCGGGUUGCAAAACAACCCAAAUUUCGAUUUUAUAUUCCAAUUUCUUAAAUUUUCUUAAUUUAUAUCUCAACAAGAUAUCACAAAGGGCAAUAAUGCAACUUUACAGAAAAAUCCAAACCCUAACCCACAAACAGAAAAAAAACAAAGGAAAAUGAUGAAAGGCUCAGAUCUAUGGAAAUUGUUUGGAUCGGACGGCGAGAAACCAACGACGCCAUGGCUGCAGAUUCACCGGUUGCAUCUGACAAAAAAUCAGAGCCAUCCGGGUCGCCCGGCCAGGAUACGGGUCGGUCAGUCUCAGUGCCCGAUCCAUAUGCUGAGAAAAAAAUCAAAUAAUCAUCAUCACAGCCUUCUUCACAUCAUAGAGAGAGAGAGAGAGAGAGAGAGAGAGAGAGAGAGUAUAUGUGUGUGUAUGUAUAUGCGUUUGCAAUAAUUUUUUUUUUUAUUUUUUUUUUUCAUUUAAGGGCUGUUGAUUUUUGGAUGUAUCAUUUUCCAUAGAAAAAAAAUGAAGAAAUCAUAGGGUUUAGCAGAGAGGGAGCAACCACCCUUUGAGAACUCCCAUUACCUCUCUGUAACCCUCAUUUUUCCUCUUCUCAGCAUUCUGCCCUUUUCUAAAAUUCUUGGAGAUAUAUAUAUAGUUCUCACGCUGUUUACAUUUUUG